GAUGAACGCUAGCGGCAGGCUUAACACAUGCAAGUCGAGGGGUAUAGGAAGCUUGCUUCCUAGAGACCGGCGCACGGGUGCGUAACGCGUAUGCAAUCUACCUUUUGCAGAGGGAUAGCCCAGAGAAAUUUGGAUUAAUACCUCAUAGUAUGUGAGAAUGGCAUCAUUUUCACAUUAAAGUCACAACGGCAAAAGAUGAGCAUGCGUCCCAUUAGCUUGUUGGUAAGGUAACGGCUUACCAAGGCAACGAUGGGUAGGGGUCCUGAGAGGGAGAUCCCCCACACUGGUACUGAGACACGGACCAGACUCCUACGGGAGGCAGCAGUGAGGAAUAUUGGACAAUGGGCGCAAGCCUGAUCCAGCCAUGCCGCGUGCAGGAUGACGGUCCUAUGGAUUGUAAACUGCUUUUGUACAGGAAGAAACACUGGUUCGUGAACCAGCUUGACGGUACUGUAAGAAUAAGGAUCGGCUAACUCCGUGCCAGCCGCCGCAGUAACAC
rnacentral:rRNA from 1 species